rnacentral:rRNA from 1 species
AGAGUUUGAUCAUGGCUCAGAUUGAACGCUGGCGGCAUGCCUUACACAUGCAAGUCGAACGGUAACGCGGGGCAACCUGGCGACGAGUGGCGAACGGGUGAGUAAUGCAUCGGAACGUGCCCAGGAGUGGGGGAUAGCCCGGCGAAAGCCGGAUUAAUACCGCAUACGACCUGAGGGUGAAAGCGGGGGACCGUAAGGCCUCGCGCCCCUGGAGCGGCCGAUGUCAGAUUAGGUAGUUGGUGGGGUAAAGGCCUACCAAGCCGACGAUCUGUAGCUGGUCUGAGAGGACGACCAGCCACACUGGGACUGAGACACGGCCCAGACUCCUACGGGAGGCAGCAGUGGGGAAUUUUGGACAAUGGGGGAAACCCUGAUCCAGCCAUGCCGCGUGCGGGAAGAAGGCCUUCGGGUUGUAAACCGCUUUUGUCGGGGAAGAAAUCUUCUGAGCUAAUACCUCGGGAGGAUGACGGUACCCGAAGAAUAAGCACCGGCUAACUACGUGCCAGCAGCCGCGGUAAUACGUAGGGUGCAAGCGUUAAUCGGAAUUACUGGGCGUAAAGCGUGCGCAGGCGGUCGUGCAAGACAGGUGUGAAAUCCCCGGGCUUAACCUGGGAACUGCACUUGUGACUGCACGGCUGGAGUACGGCAGAGGGGGAUGGAAUUCCGCGUGUAGCANUGAAAUGCGUAGAUNUGCGGAGGAACACCGAUGGCGAAGGCAGUCCUCUGGGCCUGUACUGACGCUCAUGCACGAAAGCGUGGGGAGCAAACAGGANUAGAUACCCUGGNAGUCCACGCCCNAAC